rnacentral:tRNA from 1 species
GAGGGUAUAGCUCAAUGGUAGAGCAUGUGCUUAGCAUGCAUGAGGUCCUGGGUUCAAUCCCCAGUACCUCCA